rnacentral:rRNA from 1 species
AGUGAACGCUGGCGGUAGGCCUAACACAUGCAAGUCGAACGGCAGCACAGGAGAGCUUGCUCUCUGGGUGGCGAGUGGCGGACGGGUGAGGAAUACAUCGGAAUCUACUUUUUCGUGGGGGAUAACGUAGGGAAACUUACGCUAAUACCACAUACGACCUACGGGUGAAAGCAGGGGACCUUCGGGCCUUGCGCGAUUGAAUGAGCCGAUGUCGGAUUAGCUAGUUGGCGGGGUAAAGGCCCACCAAGGCGACGAUCCGUAGCUGGUCUGAGAGGAUGAUCAGCCACACUGGAACUGAGACACGGUCCAGACUCCUACGGGAGGCAGCAGUGGGGAAUAUUGGACAAUGGGCGCAAGCCUGAUCCAGCCAUACCGCGUGGGUGAAGAAGGCCUUCGGGUUGUAAAGCCCUUUUGUUGGGAAAGAAAUCCAGCUGGCUAAUACCCGGUUGGGAUGACGGUACCCAAAGAAUAAGCACCGGCUAACUUCGUGCCAGCCGCCGCAGUAAUAC